CAAAGGACCUAAGGGCAAAGACAGGCUCCUGCAUUGCCACGGGAACCCUCACGCUCAAAAGCGAACAGGCGGAAGCAUUCACGUCCCUCAGCCGGAAACAGGCCUUUCCCGUGCUGUUCCCGAGACCCAUGGGGUGUAAAUCAGGGCAUCCCAGGAAAGUUUCCGAAGCACCCAAAUCCACCCAGGAAACUAGACGUGUUCUUUUCCAACCACACAAGUGGGAUAGACCGCUUGGAGCCGCCUGCAUGGACUUUGGCAGCAGGUCGCGUUGAAAAACCACUUACAACACCAAGCCUUGUGUGCAAAGCUAUUCCCUGAAGCGCCGUGUGCAAAAGCAAAAAGAAUGUGGUAAUAGCUGUGCUGAUCUGAAAGUAUCAGGAUACAUACGCUAUUCAGGACAAAAUGCAUGUAGCCAAACUGCGUAAUCUGCUGCCUUUUAGGGCGCCUGGGGGCUCCAUCGGUGGAGCAUCCGACUCAGGUCUUGAGAUUGAGCCCUGCGACGGGCCCCGCGCCGAGCCGCGGAGCCCAAUGUGGGGCUCGAACUCACAAAUGGCGAGAUCAUAACCAAGAGUCGGACGCUUUACUGACUGAGCCACACAGGCUCCCCCAGAAAAGCCUAAACCUUUGGGUGGAAGGACUCCAGUGGUGGGAAGGCACUAUUUUUUAAGUGUCAUUUGGAUUUUGCUUUCUUUUUUGUGUGUGUGUUAAUGUAUGUUUUUAAGGUACUCAUGUGUUUUAAAAUACCCUCAAAAACCAUCAAAAUAUUCACAACAAUUUAGUCAUAAUGAAAACAUGCCGGAUAAAGCAGUGUUGUGCAUUAUUUAAUUGACAUGAAAUCUAUACAUUCUUUACAUCUCCUUUUCAUCACCUGUGUCUUCUGUGUACCCAGACUGCUAACUGAAUGUACGCACCCCUUUCUCUCAUUUGGUUAAAUUCAUCUGGGGAGUAAAGGGCAAAAAGACACUCCUAUUUAUUAACUUUGAAAAGUAGCUAAAUAAUUCACGGCCCUUGGAGUCUGCAUGGUAGACAGCAAGCCCUUUGGGCAGCAUUCCUCAUUCUCAGUGUCAUGUAUGCUGUUUGUUCGCUUCUCUGGCAUUAUGAUCAUUAAAGAACAGUCCAUGGUAAAACACAA